rnacentral:rRNA from 1 species
UGGGGAAUAUUGCACAAUGGGCGCAAGCCUGAUGCAGCAACGCCGCGUGAGGGACGACGGCCUUCGGGUUGUAAACCUCUUUUAGUAGGGAAGAAGCGAAAGUGACGGUACCUGCAGAAAAAGCACCGGCUAACUACGUGCCAGCAGCCGCGGUAAUACGUAGGGUGCAAGCGUUAUCCGGAAUUAUUGGGCGUAAAGAGCUCGUAGGCGGUUUGUCACGUCUGCUGUGAAAACUGGAGGCUCAACCUCCAGCCUGCAGUGGGUACGGGCAGACUAGAGUGCGGUAGGGGAGAUUGGAAUUCCUGGUGUAGCGGUGGAAUGCGCAGAUAUCAGGAGGAACACCGAUGGCGAAGGCAGAUCUCUGGGCCGUAACUGACGCUGAGGAGCGAAAGCAUGGGGAGCGAACAGG